UACGUAGGGUGCGAGCGUUGUCCGGAAUUAUUGGGCGUAAAGAGCUCGUAGGCGGUGUGUCGCGUCGGCCGUGAAAACCUGGGGCUCAACUCUGGGCGUGCGGUCGAUACGGGCAUCACUUGAGUUCGGCAGGGGAGACUGGAAUUCCUGGUGUAGCGGUGAAAUGCGCAGAUAUCAGGAGGAACACCGGUGGCGAAGGCGGGUCUCUGGGGCAACAACUGACGCUGAGGAGCG
rnacentral:rRNA from 1 species